rnacentral:rRNA from 1 species
CCUACGGGUGGCAGCAGUGGGGAAUAUUGCGCAAUGGGCGAAAGCCUGACGCAGCGACGCCGCGUGAGGGAUGAAGGUCUUCGGAUCAUAAACCUCUGUCAGCAGGGAAGAACGGUCACUGUGCUAAUCAGCAGUGAAUUGACGGUACCUGCAAGGGAAGCACCGGCUAACUCCGUGCCAGCAGCGGCGGUAAUACGGGGGGUGCGAGCGUUAAUGGGAAUUCCUGGGCGUAAAGCUCUCGUAGGCGGUAAGUCAAGUCAAGGGUGAAAUCCCCGGGCUCAACGUGGGAACUGCCUUUGAAACUGGCCAACUGGAGGGUGUGAGAGGAUAGUGCAAGUCCAGGUGUAGGAGUGAAAGCCGUAGAUAUUUGGAGGAACAGCAGUGGCGAAGGCGACUAUCUGGCACAUAACUGACGCUGAGGAGCGAAAGCGUGGGUAGCAAACAGGAUUAGAUACCCGGGUAGUC